UGGUGAGCACAUGCUGCCUUUACGAAGCUUGUAGUCUGAGCCUAGAGAUAUUUUGAGAACCAAGUGGUUGGGUAUCAAGUGUCCCGCGCACCAAACGUACUGAGGCCGAUUUGUCUUGAGAAUCAUCUGACCGAAGACCCAUAUGAACAGAGUACCAUCCACCCUAGUACCAAGUGACUAGCUUCCUCUAGGAUAGCUUACAUGUGCCUUUAGGGAACACUGAGGGAGAAAGUCACUAAAAGCAAAAGGAGUUGGGAGAACGGAGUAAAUGCAGCCACAGGAGUGCAGGAAGCCAUCCCGAGAGGGGCGUAAUGGUGCCCCUGGAGCAGUGCCGAGCCGAGAGCUGCUGCUAGGCACAAGGGGCGGAGGGAGCUGGAGCUUUAGAGUCCGGACGGUGUGUGGGAGGGUUCAGAUGAGGUUGGAUAAAGCCUGGUGGAGGUUCAGAGGCCGGACGGUGUGAGAGUCACCAAACUUCCAUCCGUCAGAAGGAAGAGGAGGCGACUGCGGUUCCUAAAGCCUAGCAGAUCGGUUCACUGGUUCACUCUCCGGUUCACUCUCUGGCUUACCUCCUCGUAGUGCUCGCAGGGAGGACAUAACACUCCUGACUGAUUACUAUGAAAUGUUAGAGCCACGUGUUCGUUAUCCGUGUGAAUGGUGCCGCCCUGACGCUGCUCGAGCCCCUCAUGCGCCAAGGGAAGCGAGGCUAAAUCAAAGUAGCGGACGUUUCUACACAUUGCCUUCUCAUUUCUCCUAAU